GAUGAACGCUGGCGGCGUGCUUAACACAUGCAAGUCGAACGGAAAGGCCCAAGCUUGCUUGGGUACUCGAGUGGCGAACGGGUGAGUAACACGUGGGUGAUCUGCCCUGCACUUCGGGAUAAGCCUGGGAAACUGGGUCUAAUACCGGAUAGGACCACAUUUUGGAUGGUGUGGUGGAAAGUUUUUCGGUGUGGGAUGAGCUCGCGGCCUAUCAGCUUGUUGGUGGGGUAAUGGCCUACCAAGGCGUCGACGGGUAGCCGGCCUGAGAGGGUGUACGGCCACAUUUGGACUGAGAUACGGCCCAGACUCCUACGGGAGGCAGCAGUGGGGAAUAUUGCACAAUGGGCGCAAGCCUGAUGCAGCGACGCCGCGUGGGGGAUGACGGCCUUCGGGUUGUAAACUCCUUUCGCUAGGGACGAAGCGUUUUUGUGACGGUACCUGGAGAAGAAGCACCGGCUAACUACGUG
rnacentral:rRNA from 1 species